ensembl:lncRNA
ACUCACUGGAAAGCGCCUGGCUCUUUUUCCCUUCCCGAGGCUACUCUGCAGACAAGACUAGGGCAGGGCUACUGCCAGCAGGUGCUCCGCUGAGCCCCAGUGUCCUCAUCGUGAGGGAGGGAGCGACCCGAGGCCCAGGCAGGAUCGGGGCAUCAGAAGCCAAGAGAGUAGGAAGCAAAGCCGGCUCGCCAGGGCUCUAUUGCCCUCACACAGUAAGAACUCUGGACACUUGCUAGUUCUGCUCUGCUACUGGUAAUGCCAACUUGGACUGGGCUCUCCGAGCUUUCUGUCUCCGCCAUCUUGCCUCGUGGUGGUAAGAUGGUGGCCUCAGCGCCGUGGGAAAUGCGAGGGUCUCCUAGGAAACCCCCUGUUGUGGUGUCUCAUUGGCCAGAGGCAGGUCACAUGACUAUCCUGGCAGCAAAGGAUGCUGGGAAUGGAACGCCUGCCCCUGUUUAUCCAGCGUCUACCGCAGAGCCAGGUGAGGUGGUGGGCGUGUGGGGGUGGGAGCGGGCCUGGGGUCGCCCGCGGGAGCCGCAGCCAGGGGGGAAAGUCACGGUCUUGAGACGCCGGUGCCAAGGGCAGAGAAAUGCUUACUCAAUAAGCAGUUAGAUUGAUUUGCUUUGACAUUCUGGGCCUGAAACCAGAGAUGCAGAGAUAAAAGCCACUCCCUGGCCGACCAGAGUGAGGGGGAGAAUAAUAAUAGUAAUAAUAGCAAUACGGAAGCCAAAACUCAGCGAGCACGUACCCUGUGCCAGGCGCUGGGCACUUUCCAGACUUGAUUUAUUGCAUGCCCACGGAACUCCAAAUGACAGUGCCGGGGAGGAAGCUGGGGCCCACGGAGCCCGGGCCUGUGCCCCAGGCUGACUGCAGUGGGCUGGAUGCCAGAGCCCCGCAGCGGGCAAGGGCGUCGGCUUCUCUGGGGAGGAAGUGGGAGGCCCCCCAGAGGCAGGGAGACUUAAGUAGGGUCCAGAAGCAGGCAUCGGAGUUCCCCAGCCAGACAUGGCCCGCCAGGUGCCCCAGGUUUCAAAUGGGAUUCGAAGAAAACUUUGAAUGUGACGUUCUCACACAUCCACAUUCGCGGGAAAAAUCGCCUCUCAAGCCUGCCCUGCCUGGGAGCCAGCAAAACACCAAUGGGUGCCCAAGAGGAGAUCUUAAGGAGUUCUGGAAAGAUGACUCCUGCCCCCCUCUGCCCUCCUGCCGUGCAGUGGGGCAGGCAGCCCUGGACAGGGCCACGAGGCUGCUGGGUGUGAGGUCGAAGGAACAGGUGAGGUGGAUGAAGCCGACCCUCUCCUCGAGCUGGCCUGACCCUAUGGCCUACUGCGAAAUUUCCAAUCCUGAGUCCCCAGUGCUGGCUGGCCUGGUCCUCUCCCAUCAUCCAGAACAUGUCUUGCCCUGUCAAGCUUCAGAUUUUUGCCUGGGUCCUGCCCUCCGUGAGCCACUUUUUUUCUUUUUAAAAGAAAAUUUAUUUUUAAAAUAAAUAGUUUAUUUAUUUGAAAGGCAGAGUUGCAUAAAGACAGGAGAGACAGGUCAUCCAUCUGCUGGUUCACUCCUCAAAUGGCUAGAAUAAACAGGCCGAAGUCAGGAGCUGAGAGUGUCUC